rnacentral:ncRNA from 1 species
UGAUUCCUUGAUUUUGGGAGUAAAAGUUCUAUAUACUUUCUACUAUAGAAAUCUCUUAUAAAAAUAGUUGAUUAUAUUUUAAAAUCAUUUUCUAGUAGUUAAAAUUUUUUUCUUAUAAAAUAAGAGAAAGGGGUAUAUAUUUAGGUGAUAAAUCCAGGUGCCAGCAAUCGCGGUUAUACUUGAAUACUUAAUUUUUUUUUGGAACAAAGAUUUAAAUUAUAUUAAAAUAAAAAUUUAAUCAUAUUGUUAAAAAAGUUUAAUUUUUUAUAUAUUUUAAUUAUUUAAUUUUAAUUUUAUUUUAAAAAAAAAAGAAGAUUAGAGACCUUCGUAUUUUAUAAAAUAUUUUUAAUUUCACUUUAAGGGAAAAAAUUUGGCGGUUUAUAAAAUUCCACCAGGGGAGUGUGAGGAUUCAUAAGAUGGUCCACUAAAAAGUUUGCUAAAUUUUUCUAGUAAGUGUAUAUCCGUGUUAAGGAGGUUUUGAAAAAAUUUUUAAAUUUCCAAAAUUUAAUAUCUUAAAACAGGUCAAUAUGCAGCUUAUAAUUUAGGUUUCUUGCUCUACUAAAUAAAACUUUUCUGAGAAGAUCUUUUGGAAUAAUCUUACAGUAGAACUUGGAAGUAAUUCUUGCUAGUUAGCAACAAUGAAAGGGCUCUUUUUUUCGUACACACCGCCCGUCAAUUUUUUUUUAAAAAAAUAAGUCGUAACAUGGUAACCUUAAUAGAAAUUUAGGUUAAAUUCCU